AACGAACGCUGGCGGCAUGCCUAACACAUGCAAGUCGAACGAGACCUUCGGGUCUAGUGGCGCACGGGUGCGUAACGCGUGGGAACCUGCCCUUAGGUUCGGAAUAACUCCCCGAAAGGGGUGCUAAUACCGGAUGAUGUCUUCGGACCAAAGAUUUAUCGCCUUUGGAUGGGCCCGCGUUGGAUUAGCUAGUUGGUAGGGUAAAAGCCUACCAAGGCGACGAUCCAUAGCUGGUCUGAGAGGAUGAUCAGCCACACUGGGACUGAGACACGGCCCAGACUCCUACGGGAGGAAGCAGUGGGGAAUAUUGGACAAUGGGCGAAAGCCUGAUCCAGCAAUGCCGCGUGAGUGAUGAAGGCAUUAGGGUUGUAAAGCUCUUUUACCCGGGAUGAUAAUGACAGUACCGGGAGAAUAAGCUCCGGCUAACUCCGU
rnacentral:rRNA from 1 species